GGAGCUCCUGGAAUCACGUGGCAGAAUUAGGCAUGGGUUAUGGUUCCUUUCAUGGAGUCAGAUUCUCCAAGAAUGGUGUAAAUGUCAGUUUCAUGAAAAUCCAUCCUAAAAGCCCCGAUCGACUUCUCCAUUAUCUGCCCCCCCUUUUCCUCCCAGCUCUCCCGAGCGCCCAAGGCGAUUCUGAGAUCAGAGAGCAUAAUUACAAAUGAACUGGGGCUCUGGGGACGCCUUACAGCUUAAUUAGCUCCCGUCCCUGCGCUGUCUCCAUGGCCCAGCCUCAUGCUCCGUGCCGGAGUCCUGGCUGCCAAAGAAUUCAGAGCAGGGGCCUCUCGGCUUGUUAGCAUGCUUCCCUCGGUCCCUCCUGACGCUCACAUCCAGGCUGCAAUUAGGCCCAGCUGAGGAGACAGGAGACGGAGAGGCCUGAGCCGCUCCCUGCCUCUGCCGCGCAUCCGGAGCUGGCUGGGGGCUGCUGCCUGCCCGGACUGGCCCGGAGGUGAAGCGCACCUUGGAAUGCGGAGUGGCGGCGGCUGCAGGGCCUGCACCUGCUCUGCCCAGCCCAGGUCAGGAGGCUGCGGGCUGCAGGUGGGAGGCUAGCCAGAAAGGGCUCAGUCCCUCUCGGGCACACAGGCUUCAGGCGCAGUCGGGAAACAAAACAGCCCAGGAAUGCAGGAUUACACUUGACUAUGAAGCAAGUCAUCCCAGAAGUCCCAGGCAGGUGAUAAACGUGGCCAGUCCACUGGCAGCUGCCGCCAAGCCCCCGGCUCUUAGUGAUGAACCUUCAGACGUCUGGAACAUGAAAUGAACUUCCUUGGCGAGCUUCUCUGCACCCCGAGGACGGCCUCCUGCAGACACGCCCAGGCCAGCCCCUCCUGCCCUUGCCUGGGUGGGGUCAUCACUCUAACAGACUUUCCCCGGAGAGCUGUGUUGCCUUUGGCCCUCCUGUGCUGUUUUCCCUCCCACAGCCUGAAGGGUUUGGAGAAUUCCACCCUCUGCUGUUGCUUGAAGAUCUACUUCUCUGCCCAGGCAAUUCUCAAUCCCUUUCCAGUAUUUCUCAUCAUGGAUUCACAAGUUUUCAUUUUAAAGGUAAGCCUUCCUUCCCCGCCACUCACAACAUUUAGAAACAAAAGAUACACAAAUAAUGGGGAAGCCCCACAGUCCCCAGCAAACCCGAAAUAUCUUGGAUGCAGGCCUUUCAUGGCCAGCCUUUGUCCCAGCCCUGAGGGACACUGGUGUGGAAUUCUGCAGGGACGGCAUAAUGACCCAGACGCUAUGCUGAGCCCCUGCAUCUGCCAUCGUUUUGCAGAGUUUUCAUCAGGAAAGCCUGAGGGGAAGCCAUCCCUCCUGUCAUUUUUGUUUUAACGCCCAGCUAACUUCUUUCAGAGGUCUCUAGAACUCUCUAUAAAAGACUGAGAGGAUUCGGGGAGUCCAGGCUUGAUGAUGCCAUCCCAGCAUCUCUGAAUCUGAGAUGGGCGGCCCGCUACCUACCAUUUUUAUCAUCCUGGGUACCACAGCCUUCUCCCAUUGUGAGGUUAGAUGACAUAAUUAGGUCUCACUGGAAAUCACCAGAAGCACCUGAGUCUUAUGUGGGUCAGGAGUCCAUAGCAGCCCGAGUGAGACUGCUUUAGUUCAGUGACUCAGGGGAGCAGGAGGCUGAUAUGAGUUAUAACAGUCACCAGGCACUUGACACUGUGCGCAUUUAAUGUGUCCCCACCUAAUCUUUACUGAAACCCCAUGAAGUGGAUCCUGUGACUAUCCUGGUAAACAGAUGAGGACAACAGGGCUCAGAGAGCUACACAACGUGCCGGGGUCCCACAGCUGCAGAGCGGAGACCCCGGAUACAAAACUGCUCUCCCCUCGUCCUGUGGACUUGCUGUAACCUCUGCCACCGUGGCCACAGGGCCCAUCUGUGGGUACUGGGCCCAGAUGAGGCAGACAACUUGAAAGGAAUUUCUCUGUCAGGUAUCAGAAACCAUGAUUAAAAUGUGAACAAAUGAAAGCAGAUGAAUCAUUUUCUCUGACUUAGGUUUUCUGUCUGUGAACCAGGUUAUUAAGAAGCCUAAAUGAGAAAAUCUGCACAAAGGGCCAGGCCCAGAGUCAGAGCUCUGUAGGGUCAAUUGCAAUUAAUCAUAUAUGAGAUGACACUUAUAAAACACAUGGAAGAGAGCCUGGCACAUACAAUGUGUCCAAUAAAUAGUAUUGCUUGUUUUUACUAAUAUUUUCUGUCCUUCAUUAGAGCUACACUGAGCCUCCUGCUUCUUAAAAUACCCAUUUGCUGUGAAAGUUCCACUCGCUGCCCUGCUUUUCCAGGACACAGUGGGCAACAAAUCAGGCAUCUAUGGACCAGUUUAGGGUCCUACCUGCAAUUGUUAAUAUUAUUUCUGGGGGAGGAAACAUGUGUUCUGAGUUCUGAGUAACUGACUUAUCCAUUGUUUGAAAACAAAGCCCAUUUGUAGCUAUGGAAAACCUUUGAUUUUCACACACUUUGUGAGGGGGCACAGAAACCUUUGUUCUAAUAAUACCUUACAUGCUAACCUAAGAUAUAAAUCAGAUUUUGCAAUGAAUGGGGACGGUUGAGGUCAAGAGGGUAGAGGUGACAAGAGCCUGCCCUCCGUACCAUGAUUCUGCCAAACGUGGUAUAGGAGACCCAGCUCACCCUCUUAUGGACUUCUGAAGACUGGUUGGAUUAUUUGGUUUAUUGAGAAUGGCUGUGUCUCCACCACAUGGGGAUAUUUAGGCCACAUGAGAUGUCUUUGAUUGGAAGCACUGUCUUAUUUUGAAUAUGCCUCCGUUAAGCAGAAGUAAUCAUUUCAUCAUGAUGGCAGGUUAACGGGGUAUCCGCUGAACCCAGAGAUAUUGCCGAUAUUGCUUUCCACGGAUCAAACAAGGUAGAUCAAAGUCGAGAUUUUCAAAAUUCUCUUGUAAAAGGAAAUUUCUCCAGGCAAAACUUUGAGGUUUUCACAGGCCUGAAAACUAGCCUUGACUUUUUUCUGGCAACAAUAACAUAAAAACCCUUUUAUUUGUGCCAAGCAGGAAUAUAUUUCUUCUCAGAAACUAUUUUAUAGAUUACAUGUCAUUUUCUACUUUCUUUUUCAUUCUUGUAGUAAUUAUCUUCGUUUAAGAAAAUGUCGGCACAGCAUAUAGUAGGCAUGUUCUGGCAGAUAAGCACGGCAAGCCAACCCAGAGAGGGAGCUAGGUUGUUUCUGUAACCCUUCUAAAUCCAGGGAGCCACGUGGCUAAAUCUCAGGGCAGCACUGUAUUCAAGAAUCCAUAGUCUUUUGGCCAAGAAAGUAUUUAAAAAGGAAUUCCAAACCUUACUGGGGCUUCUCAAAAACUGUGACAGGAAUCCAAAUACAGAGUCUACAGCAACAAUUUCUUCUUUGCUCACCAGCGCCCUGUGCCCACCCUGCCAGCUUUCUGGAGCGUCUCUCUCUCCAUAGGUUUCCCAAAACUUUCUUCACAACAGCCCUGCACUGAGGUGGCAACUGUAGGAUCAUCUUGGGUGGGCAAAGGAAAGGUGGUGGGGAGGAAAGUCUGAAUUGUCCCUCUUCAUCUUAAUAACUUUGGUGUGAGGUUUCCUGUGUGUUCUAAAUUACAUCCUUAUUAUUGCCUGCUUUUGUGCACAGUACAAACAGAUUAUACAACCUGAUGUACUAUAGCAGCCUGAACCAGAUAGUUCAGUGGAACAAUAUUUAGUUCUCUUUAGUUUCUAGGAGCCCAAAUAGCAAAGAAAAUCUGAUCCUGGUAACAAUAAUGGAUUAUAGCCACUCUUUUUCAUAGGAUAAAUGAAAGACUCCAGGUAUCUUUCUAUUUGUACAUGGUUACUCCACUGUAAUUAAGGUCAAAUAAAGUAGAGGCAGUUAUUAUGCUGAAAAUGCAGUGAGAGGCUUCUGGUUUCCAGUCCAACAUGUAAAGAGCUUAGAAUAGACCACUCUAUCCUAUAAAUGAGUGAAAAGAUGAACAACCUGAAAAAUCAAUAGCUUUCCUCAGAUCUGUCAGAAGAGUAAGGGCACAAGGCAAACAGCUGCCCACAAAAUUGAAGAGACAGACAGGUGGAUAUAGAGAAUCACAAUUUACAGAGCAGAAACUCACAAGUAGAAACCUCUGUGGGAACAAGUACCAGGAUAGGAAAGCCUAAAGUGUAACUGAAAAUGUUGAGAGAAAAACCCACCAACCUAGAAUUCUACACCCUGCAAAACUAUCCUUCAAAAUGGAAGGAGAAAUAAAGACUUUUUCAGACAAACAAAAGUUGAGAGAAUUUAUUGUUACUAUAUUGUCUUCUUGUUUCCAGUGUUGCUAUUUGGAAGACUGAAGCCAUUCUAGUUCCUGAUCCUUUGUAAGGAACCUUCUCCCCACCCCUCUGAAAGUCUAUAGAACCCUCUGAAAUCUUACAGGAUCUUUCUUUUGCCCCCAGUAUUCUGAUAUUUCACAAUGGUCAUCCUGGGUCUAUUUUAAACUAUGGUGUUGGGUACUUGCUAAAUCAUUACAGUGUAGAAAUUCAUAUUCUUUGUUUAUAAGAAAUUUUCUUGAAUUAUUUUAUUGACAAUAUUUUUGCUUUUAUUUUCUUUUUGAAACUUGGAUAAUGAACUUUCUGAACUGGCCUUUAAUUUGCUAAUCUCAUCUCUCCUAUUUUCUAUUCUCAUGCUUUUUGCUCUACAUUCUGUGAGAUUUCCUCAAGUUUAUUUUCCAACAUUUCUAUUGGGUUUCAGAUAUCUUGUAUGUGUGUGUAUUCAUGUGUGUGUGAAUAUUCAAGAGCUCUUUUCAUUCUCUGAAUAUUCCUUUUAAUUUUCUCCUAUUUUUCAUCCAUGGAUUCACUAUAUUCUCAUAUCUCUGAGGAUAUUGAUACUGCUUUUGAAUCUUCUAUUUGCAACUUCCCUAUUUCCUCUAAUUUUUGACUUUUUAAAACUGAUACAUAAUUGUACAUACUAUGGGGUACAGUGUGAUGUUUUAAUAUGUGCAUACAUUGUGUAAAAAUCAAAUCAGGGUUUUCAGCAUAUUCAUCAGCACACAUAUUUAUUAUUUCUGUAUGGUAAGAACAUUCAAAAUCCUCUCUUCUAGCUAUUUUGAAAUAGACAAUAUUGUUAACCAUACUCACCCUACUGCGCAAUACAAUACCAGAACUUACUCCUAUCUAACCAUAGCUUGACUCAUCUCUCACUAUCCCCUCAUUUUCCUUUCCUCCCCUCUCUAGCCUUCUUUAACCACUAUUUUACUCUCUGCUUACAAGAAAUCUACUUCAUUUUCAUGUUACAGGCUUUUCCCACUGUCUGGUGGUCCUGGUUUUCCUCUUGUAACUAAGAGUGGGACAUUAAAAAGUUGAUUAGACAACAUGACUUUGAAAUGGAGCAACAAACUCAAACGACUAUACUGCCUGAUUUCAAAACUUCCUCAAAAGUCACAGCAAUCAACUGUGGCAUUAGACAUAUUGACCAAUGGAAAAGAACAGAGUCCAAAAAUGGAGCCAUAUAGUCAAUUUUUGACAAAGAUGCCAGGGUAAUUCAAAGCGGCAAAGCAUAGUCCAUUCAACAAAUGGUGCUAGAAUAACUCAAUAUCCAUGUAGUUAAACAAAAUGAACCUCAGCCCUUACUUGACUUCAUAUGCAAAAACUCUAGUGGAUCAUAGAUGUAAGCAUACAAGAUAAAAUUAUAAAACUUCCAUAAUCAUAAAAGGAAAUCUUUUUGAUCUUGGGAAGGUUUCUUAAAUAGGACACCAAAAACAUAAAAUAAAAGAUA